rnacentral:rRNA from 1 species
UACAGAGGUCUCAAGCGUUGUUCGGAUUCAUUGGGCGUAAAGGGUGCGUAGGCGGCGCUGUAAGUCGGGUGUGAAAUUUCGGAGCUUAACUCCGAAACUGCAUUCGAUACUGCGGUGCUUGAGGACUGGAGAGGAGACUGGAAUUCAUGGUGUAGCAGUGAAAUGCGUAGAGAUCAUGAGGAAGACCAGUGGCGAAGGCGGGUCUCUGACAGUUCCUGACACUGAGGCACGAAGGCCAGGGGAGCAAACGGG